rnacentral:misc_RNA from 1 species
GAAGUGCGAUAAGCAAUGCGAAUUGCAGAACCGUGAGUCAUCAGAUUUUUGAACGCAACUGGCGCCGGUUGGGUCUCCAGCCGGCAUGCUUGUUCCAGUGUCUUGUUUUCUCCUCACCCAAAUCCUAAUGCGAGAGAUACCCUUCUCCCGCCAAGCAUGAAAGCACUCUGCGCUCUGCGAGCGGCUUCGACUUGUUCGAGGGCCGCACUCAAUGCAGCAGUCACAUUGCUCACAAUGUGAACUCAUUGAGAGCAGGGGCAGCGCAGCACUCGCUGCAAGUGCUUAGCCACUCAAACUUUCUUUGCAUCUGGAAUCAAGCAGGACCACCCGCUGAACUUAA